rnacentral:rRNA from 1 species
GACGAACGCUGGCGGCGUGCUUAACUCAUGCAAGUCGAACGGAAAGGCCCUGCUUUUGUGGGGUGCUCGAGUGGCGAACGGGUGAGUAACACGUGAGUAACCUGCCCUUGACUUUGGGAUAACUUCAGGAAACUGGAGCUAAUACCGGAUAGGAGCUCCUGCUGCAUGGUGGGGGUUGGAAAGUUUCGGCGGUUGGGGAUGGACUCGCGGCUUAUCAGCUUGUUGGUGGGGUAGUGGCUUACCAAGGCUUUGACGGGUAGCCGGCCUGAGAGGGUGACCGGCCACAUUGGGACUGAGAUACGGCCCAGACUCCUACGGGAGGCAGCAGUGGGGAAUAUUGCACAAUGGGCGGAAGCCUGAUGCAGCAACGCCGCGUGCGGGAUGACGGCCUUCGGGUUGUAAACCGCUUUCGCCUGUGACGAAGCGUGAGUGACGGUAAUGGGUAAAGAAGCACCGGCUAACUACGUG